GCCGCCCUCCCCGUCGGUGGACACCACCAUGGACACCGACCGCUCCUCCGACGAGUAAACAAGCCGGAGACGCGGUGGUGCAGCCCAGAACGACGCGCCGUCAGGGGUACAGACACGGCCACGGUGGAGCCAUGGAAGCUACGGGUCGGUGACGACUUCAUCGUCCCGGAGCGCUUCCACCGCAAUCCCCCCUUCCUCUCCAGGAUCUUCCCCGCCGGCCCCACGAUACGCGUCGAUACCCUGCUAUGCCCGCGCCGCACCUCCGCCCGGUCCGGCCACCGUCCCCCCCAAGCCGACGCCGCCGGCUUCUCCCUGUGUUGCUGUCGUUUUCCCCUGGCGCGCGCGCUUCUGCUGCCGCCCUGCCGCAGCCCAGGUUGCCGGCGGCGCCCGCCCCUCGCCUGUGAGAAAGAGAGAUAUGAGGGAGCCACUGCCCUGUGGGGCCUACAAAGAUUAAAAUGGGUAUUACGUGCCCUCAUCCACGCUGGCAAUGCUAAUUGGCACGUCACGUGUGUAAUAGUGACAAAUUAUUAAGAAAAUUUAUCUCUUCAAUA